UCGAGGAUCUUCGGCAAUGGGCGCAAGCCUGACCGAGCGACGCCGCGUGCGGGAUGAAGGCCUUCGGGUUGUAAACCGCUGUCAGUGGGGAGAAAAUUGGUAAGGGUACUCUCUCAUCAUUGAUCUAUCCGCAGAGGAAGUGUGGGCUAAGUUCGUGCCAGCAGCCGCGGUAAGACGAACCACACAAACGUUAUUCGGAAUUACUGGGCUUAAAGGGUGCGUAGGCUGCGCAGAAAGUUGGGUGUGAAAUACCUCGGCUCAACCGAGGAACUGCGCCCAAAACUACUGUGCUUGAGGGAGAUAGAGGUGAGCGGAACUUAGGGUGGAGCGGUGAAAUGCGUUGAUAUCCUAAGGAACACCCGUGGCGAAAGCGGCUCACUGGAUCUCUUCUGACGCUGAGGCACGAAAGCUAGGGUAGCGAACGGGAUUAGAUACCCCCGUAGUCC
rnacentral:rRNA from 1 species